rnacentral:lncRNA from 1 species
CUUUUGACAGCCGUGAGCUUCCCCGCCAGGAACUUACUGGGGCUGCAUCACCCUAGAAACGUGGCUUUGGGCUGUGGAAACGCUGCCUCUGUGGAAGUCUCUCCUCGCGGGGGUGGACGGGUCGCUGCGCGCCCAGCGUUCUUCUGCGGUUCUCACAGCCCGCCGCCGCCGCCGCCUCGGGGACCUUUGCGGGGAGGCCUCAGGCACGUCCUCGACCUCAGUUGCCACGUGCACAUGCUGGUGCCUUCCAGGUCGGUCUUUCUCCACCAGACUCCACCUGGAACUUUCUUCCUUUUCGUCCUGUGCUGGCCUAACCCCUGCUCGGCCUCGGCCCUCAGCUGCCGGCUCUAACAAAGCCUCUGUCUUUCCCAGACCCCUGUGACCAGGCUGGAGUAUAGUGGCAUGAUCAUAGAUCACUGCAGCCUCAAACUCCUGGGCUCAAGCGAUCCUCCCACCUCAGCCUCCAUAUAGCUGGUGGGGACCAAGUUUCUAACACAUGAAUGUUGGGAGACACAUUCAGACCAUCGCAGUGGCCUUAUAAAAAGAGACACAAGAGCUUGCUCUCUGCCAUGUGAGAAUACCACAAGAAGACUGUCCUCAGCAAAUCAGAAAGCGGGUGGACCCUCAUCAGACACCAGAUGUGCCUGCACCUUGAUCUUGGACUUGCCAGCCUUCAGAACAGUAAGAAAGAAAUGUGUGUUGUUUAAGCCACCCAGUCUAUGGUAACUUGCUAUAGCAGCCCACUAGGAGACCCCAAGAUAUUUAAAAACUCAUCAGCACCUGCUUUCUGCAUCUGGACCCUGAUCUUCUGGUGGGUUUACCAGUUACUUGUAGAGUGUCCCUGUGAUAGUUUUAGGUGUCAACUUGACAGGAUUGAGGGAUGCCUAGAUGGCUGGGGAAGCACUGUUUCUGAGAAGGACCAUGUUUUUGGAGGAGACUGUUUUAUGAGUGAAUUUCAGGGGACACAUUCAGAUCAUGGCAGUGGCAUUAUAAAGAGAGACACAAAAGCUUGCUCUCUCUCUCUGCCAUGUAAGACUACCACACAAAGACUGCCAUCUGCAAACCAGAAGCAGGUGGGCUUUCCUCAGACACCAGAUCUGCCUGCACCUUGAUCUUGGACUUGCCAGCCUUCAGAACUCUAAGAAAGAAAUGGUAGCAUGGCUUGGUCUAAGUUGGAAGGCCUGAGAAACAAGCACAUGGUGGAACUGAGUUCAAGGAUAAAGACUUGAGAAUACCUGCUCAGUGGACUGAGUAGGGAAGAUCAACCCUCAAUGUAGGCAGGCACUAUCCAAUCACCUGAGGGCCCAGAUGGAACAAAAAGGUGGAAGAAGGGUGAAUUCUCUCUUCCAGAGCUGUGACACCCUUCUCAUGCCCUUGUACCACACAACUCUAGGUCCUUUGGCCUUUGGACUCUGACACUUGCACCAGUGGCCCUCUGGGGCUCUCAAGCCUUUAGCCUUGAACUUAGUUACACCAUGUGCCUCCUUGUUUCUCAGGCCUUCCAACUUGGAUCAGGCCAUGCCACCGGCUUCUCUGAUUCUCCAGCUUGCAGAUGGUAUAUUGUGACCCUGGCAUUUAAUAACUAUGACUUUGGUCUUAAGCAAUUUUCUUCCUCUGUGGAUUGAUAUUUACAUAUCAAUGUGGAUAAUAAUUUCUUACCACGGUAACUGUUGUGAGGUAAAAAUGAGUUAACAUAAGUAAAACCGAGCACAUGCAAACCAUCCGAAAUGGUUAAUACUUACUAUUUGUACUUGAAGAAAUAAAUGUUUUUGACAAUAAACUUCUUGUGCAGUUUUCCUCA